UUGAGCGUCGGCAAUGCACGCCGAAAGUUUGGAGAUCGAUACCCGAAUGAGUUAAAUUAAAAUCCAUCAAAACAAUCCAAUACAUCUGAUAAACCGAUGUAGACCAAGAGUGUAUACUAAAGCAUUGGGUAGAUGAAUAAAACUCUUGCACUACGGAAUUAUCAGUACAAAACUGCACAUCAGUGGCCAUCUCAACAGUGUUUCGAGUCCAAUCCUUGAAGGUCAUAAAUGUCUAAAGUGUAAACACAAAUAAAGUAUGAAAAACAAUUU